rnacentral:misc_RNA from 1 species
UUUGAGUAAGCAGGUCCAGCCCAGAGCUCUCCGAAUGGCAAAUUCUCACUCGAGACAACCAGCUCAUCAUUAAAUGGCGUCUCCCUUGAAGGGAUAUUUAUCGGAAUUGGAGAGCUUUUUGGAGCAGCCUUAAAGUGUGUAUUAUCAACAGUGUGAGACUUCGAGGGGGCCUUGAUAGUUGGUGAUGGUGUUUUCUGAGAGGACGAAGUAGGGGUAGAAAGAGUGCCUUUGGUGACAGUAGUGCCGCAAGUAUUGAAGGAGGUUGGCAGUACUCGUGACCCAGAUUGGAAAGUCCGGCAAUUGAUC